rnacentral:rRNA from 1 species
UACGGAGGGAGCUAGCGUUAUUCGGAAUUACUGGGCGUAAAGCGCACGUAGGCGGCUUUGUAAGUAAGAGGUGAAAGCCCAGAGCUCAACUCUGGAAUUGCCUUUUAGACUGCAUCGCUUGAAUCAUGGAGAGGUCAGUGGAAUUCCGAGUGUAGAGGUGAAAUUCGUAGAUAUUCGGAAGAACACCAGUGGCGAAGGCGGCUGACUGGACAGGUAUUGACGCUGAGGUUCGAAAGCGUGGGGAGCAAACAGG